UCCCAACAAGCAUAGGAGGUAGGUGCUAUUAUUAUCUCCAUUUUACAGAUGAGGAAAUUGAGGCCCACACAGAUGGAGUGACUUGCUGUAAGUGUCUGAGGCAGGAUUUGAACUCAGGUCUUCCUGACUCCAAGCCCCACUUGUGUACACUGCAUAGCUGCCUCUAGUUAUUAUCUGGACGUCCUUGGGCAAAUCAGUUUCCCUCUCUGGGUUUCAAGUUUUUCCAUCAAUAAAAUGAUGGAAUUAGAUUAGAUGACCUUUGAGGUUCCUUCUAGCUUUAAAUCCUCUGAUCCUUGAACCAGAGAAACAAGGGAUAGGUCCCUGGGCAUCAACCCAUGCCUGUGAUCAUCAAUCCGGUCUUGUGAUCUAUUCACCUCUGGGCUGUCAAAGGGUUGGCAGUUGGUGUGACUGCAGCCAGUUUCUGUUCUGAUCUUGCCCACUUGCCUUCUGAGAGCUGUCAGGGGUGGAAGCAGGGAAAGAGGCAGAGAUGACAAACAGUAGGAAUUUUCCUUGCCUUUGGUUACCAUGGAACAGGGAGCAGACUUCAUGAGCCCACAGAUAAAAAUGCCCCUCACCUCUACUGCCGUACCAAAUGAGCACCCUCAAGAUAACAAAGAAAAACAACUGAGUGACAUGCACCAUUCUGUACCUGUGGCUGCUUGCCUUUUCACUGAAAGCAGAGAAUUGUGGGAGACAGCACGUUCUCUGACCUUCAUGCACUUCUGGGGAUAGGGGCUAAUUUCAUAAUUUUUUCUGAAUGGUGAAAGGUUGGUGUUUCUCCAACCAGUGUUUUUGGAAGCAUAACCUCUCUUCAGAGGCCUGGAUACUUAUAACCAGCCAGCUUACAUACCAGCACAUGACUCUGUACCCUUAGGCUGAGAUGCCUGCCAUGGAUGGAAGAGAUGUUCCUGAAGGAACACUCUAUUGCACUGGGGACAAUUUAUGUGAAUCCCCAUUCUCUGCAGGAUUUUUAAACAAAGUGAUUCAAAAGGCAUGUUUGAAAAGUCUAAAUCAAAGCAAAUGAUCUCAGAUCACAAAUCAUUGUAAACUUACUUAAACAAGCACAUGUACAGAGUGUCUGUGGGCCCCUCUUUUGGUUUCCUCCACUCCCCCCUCAGGGGUUCUGAAGUCACGGUAAUUGGGUUGCUGAGGAAUAACUGUGGCUAUGGUGCCAGAUAUAAUAAUAACAAUAAAAUAUCAAUGAUUCCCA
rnacentral:lncRNA from 1 species